rnacentral:rRNA from 1 species
AGGCGAUGGAUAACAGGUUGAUAUUCCUGUACCACCUAUAAUCGUUUUAAUCGAUGGGGGGACGCAGUAGGAUAGGCGAAGCGUGCGAUUGGAUUGCACGUCUAAGCAGUAAGGCUGAGUAUUAGGCAAAUCCGGUACUCGUUAAGGCUGAGCUGUGAUGGGGAGAAGACAUUGUGUCUUCGAGUCGUUGAUUUCACACUGCCGAGAAAAGCCUCUAGAUAGAAAAUAGGUGCCCGUACCGCAAACCGACACAGGUAGUCAAGAUGAGAAUUCUAAGGUGAGCGAGCGAACUCUCGUUAAGGAACUCGGCAAAAUGACCCCGUAACUUCGGGAGAAGGGGUGCUCUUUAGGGUUAACGCCCAGAAGAGCCGCAGUGAAUAGGCCCAAGCGACUGUUUAUCAAAAACACAGGUCUCUGCUAAACCGUAAGGUGAUGUAUAGGGGCUGACGCCUGCCCGGUGCUGGAAGGUUAAGAGGAGUGGUUAGCUUCUGCGAAGCUACGAAUCGAAGCCCCAGUAAACGGCGGCCGUAACUAUAACGGUCCUAAGGUAGCGAAAUUCCUUGUCGGGUAAGUUCCGACCCGCACGAAAGGCGUAACGAUUUGGGCACUGUCUCAACGAGAGACUCGGUGAAAUCAUAGUACCUGUGAAGAUGCAGGUUACCCGCGACAGGACGGAAAGACCCCGUGGAGCUUUACUGUAGCCUGAUAUUGAAAUUCGGCACAGCUUGUACAGGAUAGGUAGGAGCCUUUGAAACGUGAGCGCUAGCUUACGUGGAGGCGCUGGUGGGAUACUACCCUAGCUGUGUUGGCUUUCUAACCCGCACCACUUAUCGUGGUGGGAGACAGUGUCAGGCGGGCAGUUUGACUGGGGCGGUCGCCUCCUAAAAGGUAACGGAGGCGCUCAAAGGUUCCCUCAGAAUGGUUGGAAAUCAUUCAUAGAGUGUAAAGGCAUAAGGGAGCUUGACUGCGAGACCUACAAGUCGAGCAGGGUCGAAAGACGGACUUAGUGAUCCGGUGGUUCCGCAUGGAAGGGCCAUCGCUCAACGGAUAAAAGCUACCCCGGGGAUAACAGGCUUAUCUCCCCCAAGAGUUCACAUCGACGGGGAGGUUUGGCACCUCGAUGUCGGCUCAUCGCAUCCUGGGGCUGUAGUCGGUCCCAAGGGUUGGGCUGUUCGCCCAUUAAAGCGGUACGCGAGCUGGGUUCAGAACGUCGUGAGACAGUUCGGUCCCUAUCCGUCGUGGGCGUAGGAAAUUUGAGAGGAGCUGUCCUUAGUACGAGAGGACCGGGAUGGACAUACCUCUGGUGUACCAGUUGUCGUGCCAACGGCAUAGCUGGGUAGCUAUGUGUGGACGGGAUAAGUGCUGAAAGCAUCUAAGCAUGAAGCCCCCCUCAAGAUGAGAUUUCCCAACUUCGGUUAUAAGAUCCCUCAAAGAUGAUGAGGUUAAUAGGUUCGAGGUGGAAGCAUGGUGACAUGUGGAGCUGACGAAUACUAAUCGAUCGAAGACUUAAUCAA